rnacentral:rRNA from 1 species
GAUGAACGCUGGCGGCGUGCCUAAUACAUGCAAGUCGAGCGAACAGAUAAGGAGCUUGCUCCUUUGACGUUAGCGGCGGACGGGUGAGUAACACGUGGGUAACCUACCUAUAAGACUGGGAUAACUUCGGGAAACCGGAGCUAAUGCCGGAUAAUAUUUCGAACCGCAUGGUUCGAUAGUGAAAGAUGGUUUUGCUAUCACUUAUAGAUGGACCCGCGCCGCAUUAGCUAGUUGGUAAGGUAACGGCUUACCAAGGCGACGAUACGUAGCCGACCUGAGAGGGUGAUCGGACACACUGGAACUGAGACACGGUCCAGACUACUAAGGGAGGCAGCAGUAGGGAAUCUUCCGCAAUGGGCGAAAGCCUGACGGAGCAACGCCGCGUGAGUGAUGAAGGUCUUCGGAUCGUAAAACUCUGUUAUUAGGGAAGAACAAACGUGUAAGUAACUAUGCACGGCUUGAAGGUACCUAAUCAGAAAGCCACGGCUAACUACGUG